UACAGAGGGUGCAAGCGUUAAUCGGAUUUACGGGGCGUAAAGCGUGUGUAGGUGGUCAAGAAAGUCGGUUGUGAAAUCCCUGGGCUCAACCCGGGAACUGCUUCCGAUACUUCAUGACUCGAAUUCGGUAGAGGGAGGCGGAACUCCAGGUGUAGCGGUGAAAUGCAUAGAUAUGACAUAGAACACCAAUUGCGAAGGCAGCUGGCUACACAGAUAUUGACGCUGAGGCACGAAAGCGUGGGGAUCAAACAGG
rnacentral:rRNA from 1 species